UGGCUCAGAUGGUAAAGCAUCUGCCUACAAUGCGGAAGACCAGGGUUCAAUCCCUG
rnacentral:tRNA from 1 species